rnacentral:rRNA from 1 species
UACGGAGGGUGCAAGCGUUAUCCGGAUUCACUGGGUUUAAAGGGAGCGUAGGUGGGAUGGUAAGUCAGUGGUGAAAUCUCCGGGCUUAACUCGGAAACUGCCGUUGAUACUAUCAUUCUUGAAUAUUGUGGAGGUAAGCGGAAUAUGUCAUGUAGCGGUGAAAUGCUUAGAUAUGACAUAGAACACCAAUAGCGAAGGCAGCUUGCUACACAAUUAUUGACACUGAGGCUCGAAAAGCGUGGGGGAUCAAAACAGG